rnacentral:sRNA from 1 species
CUGAGUCCUGAAGAGUGAAGCCCUCUUGCAACUUUUCCACACACCCCCACGAAUGUGAUGCAACCGUGACCUAGAGGGACAACUUCUAGGGAUGAGAGAGCAGUUCAGUCUCCAGAGCCCAUUCAAUCCUUAACUACA